AGACCAUGCUUCAGUGCUGUCCCACAUA
rnacentral:piRNA from 1 species